rnacentral:rRNA from 1 species
GCAGGCUGCAACNCGCCUGCAUGAAGGCGGAAUUGCAGUAAUCGCGGAUCAGCAUGCCGCGGUGAAUAGUUCCCGGGCCUUGUACACACCGCCCGUCACACCAUGAGAGUUGGGAAUACCCGAAGCCUGUGAGCUAACGUAAGAGGCAGCAGUCGAAGGUAGAAUCAAUGAUUGGGGUGAAGUCGUAACAAGGUACC